rnacentral:rRNA from 1 species
GUGGGGAAUAUUGGACAAUGGGGGGAACCCUGAUCCAGCCAUGCCGCGUGUGUGAAGAAGGCCUUUUGGUUGUAAAGCACUUUAAGCGAGGAGGAGGCUACUCUAGUUAAUACCUAGGGAUAGUGGACGUUACUCGCAGAAUAAGCACCGGCUAACUCUGUGCCAGCAGCCGCGGUAAUACAGAGGGUGCAAGCGUUAAUCGGAUUUACUGGGCGUAAAGCGCGCGUAGGUGGCCAAUUAAGUCAAAUGUGAAAUCCCCGAGCUUAACUUGGGAAUUGCAUUCGAUACUGGUUGGCUAGAGUAUGGGAGAGGAUGGUAGAAUUCCAGGUGUAGCGGUGAAAUGCGUAGAGAUCUGGAGGAAUACCGAUGGCGAAGGCAGCCAUCUGGCCUAAUACUGACACUGAGGUGCGAAAGCAUGGGGAGCAAACAGGAUUAGAUACCCGAGUAGUCC